rnacentral:lncRNA from 1 species
AUUGGACAAGAGUGAUUUCGGUAAUUUUCUCCUGGUAAGGAGCCCACCGACCAUGACUGGUUCUAGCGGGUUUACAGAGAUUGCAUACUUGAGUGCCUUCAUGUCCUGAAUAGACCUUUUGAUGUAUAGGGCCUGAUUGCAAUAUUUAAAUAUUAAGUCUCCACCCCAAGGUGAACAUGUGUCAUAUGUAAGAUGCAUGUUUAAUAUGCAUGCAUCAGGACCACUUUCAUUAAUAUUCAUAGCUCCUCCUGUAACCUGUUGAAUAUGUGUUAAGCCAACCCAUUCAGCAUAAAAGCAUAAAACUCCUACCCCAACCCCUCCUCCUUGGAGGUGCCUGUCUCUGGGCUUCUGCUGGAGGAGGCUGUGCUUCCUGGCCUGCAGGAUGGCCACCUGGCAGGCUGUCACCCUUAAGAAAUAGUGUCUCCAUUUUUCUAAAUUUGUAUCUUAUGAUUUUUUUUUUAAAGUUAACGUAUCUGGCAAAGAUGGGAUUCUGAAGCAGCCCCUGAAUUCCUUUUCCUGUGUCACCCAGGACACCAGGUACAGCCAAGGUCCCUUUGAAAAAGUCCAGUUGUUCCUGACUAUGCUGGGAAAGGAUCUGGGUAAGUGCUAUCAAAAUCCAAGAUCUCCCACUUUUAGGUUGCAGACUUGAUUUCUUCUUUUAGGCCUCCUCCAUCUGUGGAACUCCGGAGGAGACCCUCCUGCUGGCCUUGGGUUUGGGAGGGCAUUCCUAGUUCUUCUCAGUCCUUUCUGUUCUCCUCCCUGGACCCCGGAGGGAACAUCUCUCCUAGCCUUGGGUUUGGAGGAGGCCUUCCUGAUUCCCUCCAUCCAAGGGCCCUGGAGAAAAUGCAUUUGUGGGCUCCGGGCUUAUGGAGAGGCAUUCAGGUUGGAUUCAACUGGUUCAUAAGGUUUGUGGGGAUGCUCACACUAAGGGCACUGGAAGAGAUAUCUUCAUAAAGUCAGUGCAAUAGGUAACUUACCCACUAGGGGCAGGAACUCCUGUAGAAGUUCAAAGGCAUGCCAGGUUUUCCAGCACUUCAGCUAGCUGCAUAUUGUGGCCUGUUCUUGUGCACAUUUUAAAACUGAACGGGCAAAUUACAGCAAGGAAAAUUCAGAGCUCAAAUGCCCAACCUGCAACUAUACAAUUAAAAUGUAGAGUUUUCUAAAGCUAUCUCUUUUUUGUUUUCGGCCUGCUUUGAAUUUGCUGUUAUUAAGCUACUGCUGUUAAGAUAAAACUCAUUGUUUAUGAUACUACUAAUUCAAGGCUACUUGGAGCUUUCUUUACAGUUCAGCCAAUUGUAGCUAAAAUGUAAACACUGAAAACUCAUUUGAAACUUCAGGAAAAAAAAAAGGGGUAAAAGGUUUUUAAAAAUAAAACUGCCAUGAAAACUACUUUUCCCAAGACUUUGGUCCAUAGCCUUCAUUGGAUUACCUACUGGGACAAAUAAAGUUUAGCCAUGUGAACAGGUCCCAAUUUUGUCAGAAAUAAUUUGGAUCCAGCUGUCUUUUGUUAAGUGGUGAGUCUGUAUUACCAUCUCAUGGCUAAGGUUCCAGAGUAAAAGCUGUAAGAUCUUUGUGUGUAUGUGUUUAAAUGUUUGUAUAUGAACAUGUAUUAUGUUGUGUUGUAUCUAGCAUGGUACCAAACUGGUUUAUAAGUAAAUUAUACUCAUAAAUUAAGUAAGUCCAAAUACUUUUCAGAUUCAUGUGAACUUAGUAAUCUGGUAAAUAAAAUGGUUUUAAAAUUAUUGGUAAAAUAAAACUAGAAAUGUCUUCAGAAUUGUCAGCAUACAUUUUUUUUUUAGUCUGGGUUUACUGAUUAUUUUAUAUUUGCCUCCGCUAGGUGUUUUAAGGUAUCAGGAUUUGGCACAAAAGAUUAUAAGACUAUAAACCCAGUCAAAAAGAGAAUGAUCUUUGUGUGAAUUUUUUGACAAAUAAGACUAAUUUAAUAUUGUUGGUUCAAUGAAAACAGCUAAGUUGUUAGCUGUUUUGUUAGCUUCUGAGUUGUUGGCAAAAAUAUCCACAUGUUUAAGGUUCUGACUUAAAUGAACAUCUGAUAUUCACAGGCUACAAAAAUGGUUAACAGGUCAUACAGGUUACUAAACAGCUGAUGACUCGUCACAUAGAACUUACAGGUAAGUCACUGUUGUAACCUUGCUUUUUGGCUCUUCUGUUGCUCAAAAGGUUUUUAAGGGUUAAUGAGUGCCUGUUCACCUCCAUCCUCAUCUGGCCUAGAAUGUUUAAUUGGCUCCAAGUCCCUUGGCCAUAAGGAUCCCACCAAAGAACAGAAUGAACCUGCAGCAGGUAGCCACACCACCCCGGCAAAGAUAUGGGAAAAAAUAAAUGUUUGGUCACCAAUGUCAUCUCUGGCACAUCUUGGCUAAAAGGGGAGAAUGUAAACUCAGCCUCCCAAAGUGCUGGGAUUACAGACAUGAGCUACCAUGCUUGGCCAGAAACACGUUUCUAAAAAUUGUGACGUGAUUCUCAUCUUUAAAGUGCUGAUAGAGAACAGACAAUUCAAUAUUUCUUGCCUCCUAGGUUUUCACUAAAAUUUAAGGUUACUAAGAGUAAGAAUUUUAGUUAAUAUAGAAUUCUAUAUAUAAAAUGUGCCAAAUAAAUGUGUUCUUAUGGAGAAAAAGAAUAAUUUUAUUUAAUUUGGAUGUUAUUUAAAGGUUAGUUAUGAAAGAAGGUAGAAAACCAGUAAGUAGGAGAGAUGUGAAAAAAGUUAGCUAUGAAGAUGUAUUUUUGGUAAGGAAGGUUCAAAAGAGAAUAAUUUCAUAUAUGAAAGUAUCUUGCAGGGUAAAUUUCUGUCCUAAAGUAAAAUGACUGGUUAUUAAGGAAAGGGGAAAUUUAGUACAAAUCAGAAAGUACAAGCAUGUUAUAGAUGGUCUAAGUUGUGAUAAGGUUUGUGAGAGAAUACUUAUGAAAAGCAUUUUGUGUGGGAUUAAGUUGGCUAUAAUUAAAAUUAUUUAUAAAAGUCUUUCUAAAUUUUGGUCCCUUGUUUUAAAAGAAAGUUGUCUUAAAAUAUGAUUUACUCUUAAUACAAUUAAAAGAGGUUUUGAUUUUUAAUUCUAAACCUGUUUCUUGUUGAAAACUUCUCAGAUUAGUAUCUUGGAAGUUCCACUUUUGCUGCGUCUUGCUACUUUGUUUUUCUCCCCCUUUGAGAAGGCCUGAGAUGAUAACUUUUCCCUUCAACUGUUUUGCCAGCUCCUGUAACUUUUUCCCUCUGGUUCUAACUGCCACUGUGGCCUGAUGCUAAAAUGUUUUAUCUUGAAGGUCUCGAAGAGCAAUGUUUUCCUACAGUAUACCUUGAUUCUGUACUCUUGGCUUUUCCUGAUAUCCGAAUUGUUCCAUAUAACCAGAAAACUUCCCAUGCUGUUAUUAAGAGUCAUGUAUUCCCCGGCUCAAGGUACAGUUUUCUAGUUUCCUGUUUCCUCCAUAACAUAAAGUUCAUUCAUGACCCCAGACACACUCUUCUUGUGUCUGAUUAAUUCAAGUAAACUUUUUACAGUUUGAUUUCCAAGUUAUCUAAAUGGGCUUCUCAUAGGAGAAGCAACCACACUGUAGGUUUUUCUUUGCCUUUUUGGUAACUGGCCUAAGAACCAAAGAUUUUACAUUUUAUCAAGAUAAUUCCCAUGUUUUCUUUAUUAGAUUUUUUAUUACUUAGGAAAACUAAGCUUUAAAAGGGUUAAGGUUUUUACAUCCAUGUGACUUUCCAUAUUGCAUUUAAAGUCUUUUGAUUAUUACUCUUGGUUUAAUGAAUAACUAUUACAAUGACCUGUAAUUCCAUUUUGAUUAAAAGCUUUGAGCCUUUGAACAUCUUUGACAAAUGUCCUCAAAAUCAAAUAAACAUUGCUAAUUCUUCAUGUUUUGCUUUUCAGAGUCAAUAAAACCUUUUUUCUUUUAAACUAUUUACAGCUUACAGAAAUUGGGUAAAACAUUGAAGAUUACCUUUCUCUCUACCUAGUAUCUCUAGAAUUUGAAAACUAUUCAAUCCCCCUAGGCCAAUCUGCUUUCCAUUGCCAAGGCACUACUGCUAAAGCAAUACAGUAUCAAGCACCCUCCCAGUAGGCCCAUGGACUAUCACAGAAGGGGUGGGCACAUGAGAUUGUAAGGGCCAGUUUCAACAGAUAAAAUUAGUUCAGACCCUCCAAAUUAAAGAUGGGCAUACAGAUUACCAAACAGCUCAUGGCUCAACACACAGAACUCAUAGACAAGUCACUUUUGUAACACUGCUUUUUGGUUAUGUUGCUCAAAAGGUUUUUAAGGGUUAAUGCGUGCCUGUGAACCUCCAUCUUCAUCUGGCCUCCAAUGUUUAAUUAGUUUUAAGUCUUUUGGUUCCAAGUCCCUUGGCCACAGGGAUCCCACCAAAGAACAAAAUGAGCCUGGGGCAGGUAACGACACCACCCUGGCAGUGACAUGAGACAAAAUAAAUGUUUGGUCAUCAGUGUUGCCUCUGGCACAUCUUGGCUAAAAGGGGAGAAUGUAAACUAAAAAUAAAAUCCUAAGACUCCUCCCCUACAGAUUGAAUGGACCCCCUCUUGGCCAAGGGGACCCCAGAAAAUUCUUAAAAACGGAGUUCCCAGCCAUGACAGGACAGCAGGUUAGACACGACUUGUUAUACUCCCCUCCCUUUUCUGGUUUACAGACAAUUGACCCGCAUUAAAGUUAAAAUAGAGAUCCUAAGAUUGACAGAACAGAUUCUUUGUGGCAGCAACAUAACAAAUUACCAUGCCAGGCAAGGGUUAAGUUAUGCACCCCUACGCUUAAAGAAUAAACUAGGUUCUAACUGCAACAAGGAUUCUCUUUCUCUCUAGCAGCUAAACAAGCAGUGGCCUCACCAUAAACACUAAUAAAACACUUGCAGCCCUACCAGAUGCUGACUAACUGAACUCUACCAGCCAUAACUAUAGCUUUGACUGGACAAGAGAGUGAUUUCAGUAACUUUCUCCUGUUAAGAAGCCCACCGACCAUGGACUGGUUCUAGUGGGUUUACAGAGAUUGCGUACUUGAGUGCCUUCCUGUCCUGAAAAACCUUUUGAUGUACUGGGCCUGAUUGUAAUAUUUAAAUGUCGAGUCUUCUCUGUGAGAUGAACAUGGGUCAUAUGUAACAUACUUGUUUAAUAUGCAUUCAUCAGGACCACCUUUAUGAACAUUCACAGCUCUUCCUGUAACCUACUGAAUAUGCAUAUUUAGAUAACUUUUUCAGCAUAAAGCUCCAAGCCAACCCCUCCUCCUUUGAAGUGCCUGUCUCUGGGCUUCUGCUAGAGGAGGCUGUGCUUCCCAGCUUGCAAGAUAACCUGACAGGCUAUAACUCUUAAGAAGUAAUAGUUUCCUCUCUCCUUUUCCAAACUUACAGAUUUGUGAUUUUAAAAAGUUAACAUGACUUACUCCAUUGGGAGUGUUACUUAAAUGAACUGAUUUUAAAUCUCAAACAUACCAAUUACCAUACAUAUGGUAAAACUGAAGUCUGUGAGGGUAAAGCAAUUUCUCUGAGUUUCCACAGUAAGUGAAGGCUCUUCAAAGUGCCAUGCUGUUCAUCAACUUCGGAUGCUCUGCAAGUGGAGAUCUCUCCCUCAGGCAGUGGCAGGAAGAGACUCUGCCCAUCUCACUUCUGCCCACUUGAUACAAUGCUUUGGGAUUAUUUCUCCCCUCUUUCCACAGAAGAACAUCAGGAGUGGAUUGUUAUGUUUCUAUAUUACUUUGCAUGGGUCUCAUUCCUCAGCUUUUUCUGGUACAAGGUAGACUCUAAUCUUGAGGUGAGCACAUUCUAUUCUAUUCAUCUCCUCUAGGACACAAGCCACAGGAAUUCAGUGUUGACAAAGAUAGUUCUUGGUGUUGCUAAAGCUGCAGAAAUGACAGGAAGGACUCAGGAGAGAUUCUGCUUUUUUUUUUUUCCCCCAGCUCCUAUCAGACAUUCCCAGGUGGGGCUGGGGUAUUAUACCAUCUGGCUUCAGAAAUGCUCUAAGACUCCCUUUUACCCCUACCAUCUGCCAACUUCUGUCAACACAAACUGCUAAGAAAGGGAACCUAUUUUUCAGCCUAGUAUUCUUACUAUGGCAGAGAUAGAGAAAAGUCAUGCACAUAUUACAUAAGAUUGUCAAGAUCUGCCAGGGAUUCACCCUCUGCCUCUGAGCAAGACUGUUUCUAACACGAAUAGGAAGACUACCAGAGAAGGGAGAGAGAAAUCUGUUUCCUGUUUUCAAAAUCUCCAGAGGAGAUCCCUCAGCCAAGGAGAAGAGUCUUAACCCUAGUAACACACACAGCAUCCUUGAAACAAACAACAAAAGCGAUGUGGCCACAAGGAUAUGUGUGUAAUUCUUUGAUGGUGUGUUUGAUCUCGCCCCAGUUUGGCCUCACUUAAACUCAAAUCCAACAGCUUGGAAUGCAAUUUUAAAAUUCUGAGCAAUGACAAAUGUCUCACACAUGCUACCUUUUGUGCUUUCCUGGCCAAGCUGUUAUCUGCAGUUAUUUUCAAGAACAGAGUUCAUUUUUGUUCUUAUUUCUGAAUGGGGAAUUAUAUAAGGCUUGAUUUUGGCCACAGUGGAGGCAUGGAAGUUCAACCUAAGGAGGAGCAGAGUUUGCUAUCGCCUACAUUUGAUUGAUUUCAGGUUUAAACAGCAAGGCAUGAAGAUAAUCCAGAGAUGACCAGACUCUCUCUGGACAGCCUGUUUUCACCCUUGCCCUCCUUGAAACAGGUCACAUUCACAGCACUUACAUGCAUCCCCUAAAAAUACCAACUCCAAGCACAUUAGUGAAAUGGAUGUUGCACUGAAUACUCAGUGGGGAGAUGAAAAUUCACUCAACCCCACAGGAUAACUUAAGACUAGGAUGCCUAUGGACACUUGUGCUUCCCCAAGCCCCUAAAGCUGCCCUCCCCUGCAGCUGUCCAUCGCUGUUGUCUUUACCCACCUCCAUCUCUAAAACUCUCCCCUUAUUUAAAGAUAAUCUUUAUCAACACCAAAGCCAGUAACCAGCCAGAACACCUCCCCUACCACCAAGUUUCCCCAGGGUGCCAUCUUCCUUCUGCUUUCCUCUCCUAUCUCAGUGCCACUGCAAUCCCUGAAGUAGUUCAUCAACGUAUUUAUCCAACAAACUAGAUCUGUUCCUAAGGGGAAUUCUGCUGCAAAAUAAAUUUUAGUUUUCAUCCUAUUUUACCAAGCCAUUAAUAUAUGCUGUUAGCAGUAUGUGCUCAUUAAUCUUAACAAUAACCCUGUAAGCUGUUAUAAUUCCCAGCAUACUGAAAAGGUAACAGGGAGGGGCGUAGAGAAAUUCAGAGACUUACCCAUGCUAAGACUCCCGUUCCAGGUCUGCCAGGGUCCUUACCCACACAAGCUGCAGUGCAAAGGUGGGUGGCCCUGGGCAAUGUAAAAUGGGAGGAUGUGGAUAGGGCUUGGGUCUGGAGCUGCUUUCUCAACACUCCAAGCAGUACCCGUUCGCAUAUUCAAGCAGCUCCUGUGAGUUCCCUUUGGCUGAGAAGUUUCUGUCCUCUCCUGGGCCACCCUGCCCACAGAUAAAAUGCAAGUGAUUUAUUUUGUUGCUUACAAAGGUUAAGGGACUUGUGAAGGCCACAUAACUGUUAAAUGCUAUUGACACCUGGACUUAAUAAACCUAAUAGUAUCUAACAUCCAGGUGGCUAUUUGAAGCAUUAUGCCAUUAUGCCUCUUGAAAGGAAGUCUAGUCCUGGGUUAUGUUUAAAGGAGCAUUUCUUUCCUUUCCAAAAUGACUGCAGAAAGCCAACUAUCUAAGCAGGGAUUAGCAAUUCUACUUCUGAUCAGGGGAACUGACCUAUAUGGGGUAAAAGUGUGGGAUGGGGGAAGUCCCAUUUCCCCAUCACCCUCCUAAUAUUCCCCUGCCUGCUAUAGGGAGGACUUAGAAAAAUGGCUGGAGACUGAGCUAUAUUUAUUAGGGGUCAUUAAAACCCCUAAAAGGUUGUUUAAACAUCAUAUGCAUUUCCACUUCCUGCUCCAUGCUGUCAACCAGGCACAAGUACCAGGGCCUACUUUUUUUUUUUUUUGAGAUGGAGUCUUGCUCUCUCGCCCAGGCUGGAGUGCAGUGGUGUGAUAUCGGCUCACCGCAACCUCUGCCUCCCAGGGUCAAGUGAUUCUCCUGCCUCAGGUUCCUGAGUAGCGGGUAUUACAGGCGCCCACCACCACACCCGGCUAAUUUUUUGUAUUUUUAGUAGAGAUGGGGUUUCGCCAUGUUGGCCAGGCUGUUCUGAACUCCUGACCUCUAGUGAUCCGCCUGCCUCUGCCUCCCAAAGUGCUGGGAUUACAGGCGUAAGCCACUGCGCCCAAGGGCCUACUCUUUCCAAGCAGGCCCAAUGAGACGUUCUUCCCUGUCUCAGGCUUGGAAGCCAGAUGGUGGUAAGAUCUGGAUGUAGGAGGCAGAGGACAAACCUAAGCCAUGAGCCACAACCUAGCUGUUCCAAAGAUCUCUGAAAUAAGCUAAUACAAAGCAGUAUGUUGAUUUCCAUUUUGCUGUCUGCUCCUUGUGCAUUUAGCUCCAGGAGGGAGUUAAUAGGAGAGGGGUGAGUGGCAAGGCAGGAUAUGGUCAUUCCUUGGGCCCUGGUUGUGAUACUAACUUAAUAUAAUCAAAACCUAGGGUGACCAUAUAUCUAUAAUCCAUACCAGGACAAUUCUGAGAACAAAAAAGAGCACUAUUAAUUAUGCUAAGACAACAAUCCAUCCUCCAUAGCUGGAAUGCUCAAGGUCUUAGAAGAAAUAAGGUUAAAAUAAAAAAACAGCAGCAGACCUAUUUAAAAGUUGUUUUGUGGCUGGGCGCAGUGGCUCAUGCCUGUAAUCCAAGCACUUGGGGAGGCCGAGGUGGGGAGAUCAUUUAAGGCCAGGAGUUCGAGUCCAGCCUGGCCAACAUGGAGAAACCCCGUCUCUACUAAAAACACAAAAAUAAGCCAGGGGUAGCGGUGCAUGCCUGUAAUCCUAGGUAUUCGGGAGGCUGAGGCAGGAGAAUCACUUGAACCUGGUCAGUGGAAGUUGCGGUGAGCCAAGAUUGAGCCACUGUACUCCAGCCUCGGUGACAGAGUGAAACUCUGUCUCAAAAAAAAAAAAAGGUUAUGUUCUGCCCAGGCCCUCUAUUUGAAGUUUUCAUGAAACCAUCUCAUUUGUGGAAAGCAUUUUAGUUUAGAGUACUUCUACGGGCAUGCUCUAAGCCUGUGAGGCAGGUCACAGGUUUAGCACCAUGACAGAAGCUGUGCAGCAAGCAGCAGAGGCAAGACUCAAGUCCAGUAUCUGGGUUAGCCCAGUGUUUCCUCCCGUACCCAUGCUGUGACCCCUCAUGGCCUCUGCUCUGCAUGGGCCACAAGCUUGUGUCCUGAACUUAGAAUAUCUGGGGGAAGGCAGAGGACAACAUGAAAUGACGCCCAUGGGAGACAGGGAACCAAAAGGAACAUCUGUUGCCUGAAUCAAAAUUAACUGCAAAGCCAGUCAUUAGCACUGCACAUCAUCAAAACAGGAGAGAUCUGUGUCCAUUUAUUUUCAAAGCCAUCCUGGACUUGGCGGGAAAAAAAAAUGCUGCCUAAUCCCAACACGAUUUUUCAAAUAGUUUUCCAAGAUUCUAAAUCUUAUAUGUAAAUUAACUGGCAAAGGAUUAAAACCCAACAUUUAAAAUAGUGGUACUUAAUGAGGGGCAGCACAUACCUUCAAGGGGGCAUUUGGAAAUGCGUAUGGUCAUUUGAGUUGUGACUUGGGUGGGGGGGUCACAAAGAGGAUGACUCCUCUUCAAGUCAAUAAAUUUCAGUGACAUAGAAGAAAAAGGUGACCGGGUCCAUAGUCAGUGACUUGCAAUCACAGACAAGCCUAUCAUUUGUGGGAUUACUGGGCUUCUGAGAAGCAGCCCAUGGUGGAUUGACGACAAUACAGCACUUGCUGUCCUCCAGGGCUACACUCAGCAGAACACCUGGGAGUUCUGUAGAUCUGCCAAUCUCAUUUCACGGAAAUGGGACUGUGAUGUGUUCAUGCAAAACACGCUGUCCCUACUCAAAACAGUACGCUCUGAUGAAGUCUACAUAGCACAUAUACUUCACCUGUAUGAAAUGGAUUUGGAAAUUACAUGACUCAUUUAGUUCUUCCUCUCCUUAGCCUGUGAAACUAAUUUCUUCCUUGAGGUAUUGAGAUUUAGGUAAAACAGGGUUAGAGAAGCACAAAUAAUCCUGCUGCAUUCAAACUAAGUCAAAAAGUAUCAGAAGAUCUAAAGGACUAACUUGAUUUAAACUUUUCCUGGCAUGACAAAAAGACUGACGUUUCCCAAAAGAAAUUCCCCAAACUGCCAAAGACAGGGGCUGCUGAUGGAGCCAUACUUACUGAGCUGAUUCAUAUUGCUGGGAGGAUCUGAUGAGAAUAAUGAAGAUUUCAGAGAUCAAAGUUUCCACUCUCUGUGGUUCUAAGAAUGUCUCAGUUUUGUCCAAGUCACAAACAACCCCUGGGCUUUAACUAUCUAACCAGAAACUAUAUGUCAUCCUCUGUUGGGGUUACUUUAAAUGAGCACCUGUAUGUCAAGUUUGAUGCAAGUGUGUAUAGUAUUGAGAGGAUGUCCUAGAAGCCCAAAGUAAAGCACUCCUUUCUCUCCUCAGCUAAAUGAAUGAUGUUCUAUCUUGCAGAUCCAUUUUCAAUCAAUGGAUAAGGGUGUUCAAUUCUCAGCAGAGCACUGAAGAAGUCUUUUGCAGACAAUAAUUAGCAGCAAUUCACAGAGAGAUGAGUCAUUUAUGCCUUUAAUGUUACAUGUACAAAACUGUGUAUUAGUGACGACUUAUGAGGGUGCUGAAGACA